ensembl:misc_RNA
UGGAUUCACAGCCCUAGAGUCCUUUAUUUAUCCCUGGAAUAAGUACAGCAUGGAUAGCAGCAAUGCAAGCUUUCCCCACAUUAUGUGACUCAGCCCUGAACUCAUAGGAAUGAGAGGGGAGCUUAGUUUCCAUGAGUUCAGCUCUUGGCCUCU